GUGUUUGUGUGUGUGUGUGUGUGUGUGUGUGUGGGUCCAGUGUGUGUGUGUGUGUCACACACACACACUGGACCCACACACACACAUGCUGACACACACACACACCGGGUACACAC